AAUUAAGUAACUUAAGAAAAGUGAAAGAGUUUUAAUCUUUUUAUAGUAUAAAAUUACUCUUAAUUA
rnacentral:tRNA from 1 species